ACGCACGCUGGCGGCGUGCUUCACACAUGCCAGUCGCACGGAAAGGCCCUGCUUGCAGGGUACUCGAGUGGCGAACGGGUGAGUAACACGUGGGUGAUCUGCCCUGCACUUCGGGAUAAGCCUGGGAAACUGGGUCUAAUACCGGAUAGGAGCCAUUUUUAGUGUGAUGGUUGGAAAGUUUUUUCGGUGUAGGAUGAGCUCGCGGCCUAUCAGCUUGUUGGUGGGGUAAUGGCCUACCAAGGCGGCGACGGGUAGCCGGCCUGAGAGGGUGGACGGCCACAUUGGGACUGAGAUACGGCCCAGACUCCUACGGGAGGCAGCAGUGGGGAAUAUUGCACAAUGGGCGCAAGCCUGAUGCAGCGACGCCGCGUGGGGGAUGACGGCCUUCGGGUUGUAAACUCCUUUCGCUAGGGACGAAGCUUUUUGUGACGGUACCUAGAUAAGAAGCACCGGCUAACUACGUG
rnacentral:rRNA from 1 species